GACGAACGCUGGCGGCGUGCUUAGCACAUGCAAGUCGAACGAUGAAGCCGGAGCUUGCUCUGGUGAAUUAGUGGCGAACGGGUGAGUAACACGUGAGUAACCUGCCCUUGACUCUGGGAUAACUGCGGGAAACUGUAGCUAAUACCGGAUACGACCCUCGGAGGCAUCUCCUGGGGGUGGAAAGAAUUUCGGUCGAGCGAUGGACUCGCGGCCUAUCAGCUAGUUGGUGAGGUAAAGGCUCACCAAGGCGACGACGGGUAGCCGGCCUGAGAGGGGGACCGGCCACACGGGGACUGAGGCACGGCCCAGGCUCCUACGGGAGGCAGCAGUGGGGAAUAUUGCACAAUGGGCGCAAGCCUGAUGCAGCAACGCCGCGUGAGGGAUGACGGCCUUCGGGUUGUAAACCUCUUUUAGCAGGGAAGAAGCGAAAGUGACGGUACCUGCAGAAAAAGCACCGGCUAACUACGUGCCAGCCGCCGCGGUAA
rnacentral:rRNA from 1 species